CCAGAUUCAAUUAGAAAUAAAGUCAAAAUUAUAUUAUCUAUUAGUAUUCUAAUGUCUAAAUUUAAUUAAAAUAAACUCAAAAUUAUUAAUUAUAAUAUCUAAACUAUAAAUUAAUAAUUAUAAUAUAUAUUUUCUUGGUAAAAUAUAUUGUAAUAUAUUAAAAUAUCCUAACCAGUAACCACAGCAGUAACCCUAAACCUAAAUCCCUAACUCUAUUUCUUAAUUUUCUUCUGGCUUCUGAAUCUGG
rnacentral:lncRNA from 1 species